UACGUAGGGGGCAAGCGUUGUCCGGAUUUAUUGGGCGUAAAGCGCGUGUAGGUGGCCAAGUAGGUCCGCUGUGAAAACUCGAGCUCAACCUCGAGACGCCGGUGGAAACCAUCUAGCUAGAGUCCGGAAGAGGAGAGCGGAAUUCCUGGUGUAGCGGUGAAAUGCGCAGAUAUCAGGAAGAACACCCGUGGCGAAGGCGGCUCUCUGGGACGUGACUGACGCUGAGACGCGAAAGCGUGGGGAGCGAACAGG
rnacentral:rRNA from 1 species